rnacentral:rRNA from 1 species
CCUACAGGAGGCAGCAGUGGGGAAUAUUGCACAAUGGGGGAAACCCUGAUGCAGCGACGCCGCGUGAGUGAAGAAGGAAUUCGGUAUGUAAAGCCCUAUCAGCAGGGAAGAAAAUGACGGUACCUGAGUAAGAAGCCCCGGCUAACUACGUGCCAGCAGCCGCGGUAAUACGUAGGGGGCAAGCGUGAUCCGGAUUUACUGGGUGAAAAGGGAGCGUAGACGGCAGUGCAAGUCAGGAGGUAAAGGCGGGGGCUCAACCCUCGGACUGCACUGGAAACUGUACGGCUGGAGUGCAGGAGAGGUAAGUGGAAUUCCUUGUGUAGCGGUGAAAUGCGUAGAUAUUAGGAGGAACACCAGUGGCGAAGGCGGCUUACUGGACUGUAACUGACGUUGAGGCUCGAAAGCGUGGGGAGCAAACAGGAUUAGAUACCCCUGUAGUC